UACAGAGGGUGCAAGCGUUGCUCGGAAUUAUUGGGCGUAAAGGGUAGGUAGGUGGUCUUAUAUGUCUGAGGUGAAAGCCUUGAGCUUAACUCAAGAAGGGCCUUAGAAACGGUAGGACUAGAGUCUUGGAGAGGGUCGUGGAAUUCCCGGUGUAGCGGUGGAAUGCGUAGAGAUCGGGAGGAACACCAGAGGCGAAGGCGACGGCCUGGACAAGAACUGACACUGAACUACGAAAGCGUGGGUAGCAAACAGG
rnacentral:rRNA from 1 species